AGUGAACGCUGGCGGUAGGCCUAACACAUGCAAGUCGAACGGCAGCACAGUAAGAGCUUGCUCUUACGGGUGGCGAGUGGCGGACGGGUGAGGAAUACAUCGGAAUCUACUUUUUCGUGGGGGAUAACGUAGGGAAACUUACGCUAAUACCGCAUACGACCUACGGGUGAAAGCAGGGGAUCUUCGGACCUUGCGCGAUUGAAUGAGCCGAUGUCGGAUUAGCUAGUUGGCGGGGUAAAGGCCCACCAAGGCGACGAUCCGUAGCUGGUCUGAGAGGAUGGGAGGCCACAUUAGGAGAGAAACGGGGCCCGGCCCCCUAGGGGGGGCGAGAGGGGGGAAUAGUGGACAAUGGGCGCAAGCUGGAUCCGGCCAUCGCGGGGGGGGGAAAAAGGCUUUGGGGUUGUAAAGCCUUUUUGUGGGAAAAAAAAGGCAGCAGGUUAUUCCCCCGCUGUUUUGAGGUAACCAAAAAAAAAAGCACCGGCUAACUUGGUG
rnacentral:rRNA from 1 species